UGGGGAAUUUUGGACAAUGGGCGAAAGCCUGAUCCAGCAAUGCCGCGUGUGUGAGGAAGGCCUUCGGGUUGUAAAGCACUUUUGUCCGGAAAGAAAUCCUUGGCUCUAAUACAGUCGGGGGAUGACGGUACCGGAAGAAUAAGCACCGGCUAACUACGUGCCAGCAGCCGCGGUAAUACGUAGGGUGCAAGCGUUAAUCGGAAUUACUGGGCGUAAAGCGUGCGCAGGCGGUUUGCUAAGACCGAUGUGAAAUCCCCGGGCUCAACCUGGGAACUGCAUUGGUGACUGGCAGGCUAGAGUAUGGCAGAGGGGGGUAGAAUUCCACGUGUAGCAGUGAAAUGCGUAGAGAUGUGGAGGAAUACCGAUGGCGAAGGCAGCCCCCUGGGCCAAUACUGACGCUCAUGCACGAAAGCGUGGGGAGCAAACAGGAUUAGAUACCCUGGUAGUCCACGCCCUAAAACGAUGUCAACUAGUUGUUGGGGAUUCAUUUCCUUAGUAACGUAGCUAACGCGUGAAGUUGACCGCCUGGGGAGUACGGUCGCAAGAUUAAAACUCAAAGGAAUUGACGGGGUCAUAGCUGUUUCCU
rnacentral:rRNA from 1 species